rnacentral:rRNA from 1 species
UUACCUACGGGUGGUAGCAGUGGGGAAUAUUGCACAAUGGGCGCAAGCCUGAUGCAGCCAUGCCGCGUGUAUGAAGAAGGCCUUCGGGUUGUAAAGUACUUUCAGCGGGGAGGAAGGUGUUGUGGUUAAUAACCACAGCAAUUGACGUUACCCGCAGAAGAAGCACCGGCUAACUCCGUGCCAGCAGCCGCGGUAAUAAGGAGGGUGCAAGCGUUAAUCGGAAUUACUGGGCGUAAAGCGCACGCAGGCGGUCUGUCAAGUCGGAUGUGAAAUCCCCGGGCUCAACCUGGGAACUGCAUUCGAAACUGGCAGGCUAGAGUCUUGUAGAGGGGGGUAGAAUUCCAGGUGUAGCGGUGAAAUGCGUAGAGAUCUGGAGGAAUACCGGUGGCGAAGGCGGCCCCCUGGACAAAGACUGACGCUCAGGUGCGAAAGCGUGGGGAGCAAACAGGAUUAGAUACCCCUGUAGUCG